rnacentral:rRNA from 1 species
GAUGAACGCUGGCGGCGUGCCUAAUACAUGCAAGUCGAGCGAACGGACGAGACGCUUGCUUCUCUGAUGUUAGCGGCGGGCGGGUGAGUAACACGUGUAUAACCUACCUAUAAGACUGGGAUAACUUCGGGACACCGGAGCUAAUACCGUAUAAUCUUUUGCACCGCAUGGUUCAAAAGUGAAAUACGGUCUUGCUGUAACUUAUAGCUGGUUCCGCGCUGCAUGAGCUAGUUGGUAAGGUAAAGGCCUACCAAGGCAACGAGGCGUGGCCGACGUGCGGGGGGGAUAGGCCACCUGGGAGCGUGGACACGGACCAUGCUACUACGGGAGGCAGCAGUAGCCAAUGUGCCGCAAUGGUCGAAAGCAUUACGGAGCGACGGGGCGUGAGUGAUGAAGGUCUUCGGAGCGGGAAACUCGGUUACGAGGGAAGAACAUAUGUGUAAUGAACUGUGCAGAUAUUGACGGUACCGAAUAAGAAAGCCACGGCUAACUACGUG